GAGGGGCGCGCUCGCGCCAAUCACGGUGAGACCCGUUGGAGGCGGUGGCUGCCCUCAGGGCCGCGCCGCCUCCGUGAGGGGGCGAGUCGGGAUGGUGCUAUUCUCCCCGGCUGUGCCACCCUGCCCGGGCUGUGUCACCCGCCCCCGGCUGACGCGCGGGCGGAACGCGAUCGUGUCACCUACCCGGAGUGAGCUCUCGGGCCGAGAGCGGCCCCGCGUUCCCCCGGCACGGCCCUGGAGGCGCCGCUCCGUCCCAACAUGGCGGGUGCUGCCUUUUUCUAGCCCGCCCGGCUGUCAGCGCCGCCGCGGGCUCGGACGGGCCGUGGAGGUCACGGGUGAAGAGUUGCGGGCGUUGUGCAGAAUUACCUGUGCUUAAGGUGUAGGCUCGGAGUUAUUCCUGCCCAAAGCCCAGCAGACUCCAGUGCCUUCACCUGCGGCGAGGUGUGAGCUGUUCCUUCCUGCCCCAGGGCUCGCAGCCAAGGCUCAGCGCUCAGCCUUCUCAGCACAUCAAACCCCACCACACGCGUUCUUUUCAUCUUGCAUACUGCACUACACGAUAGCUAAAACGUACAAGUAUUUUUCUUUGUUUGAUCUUUUUGUUCCAGAAAAUACUGUAUUUGUUUCAUAGGAAGAGGUUAGCCUUAUUUGAUCAGAACUUGUGUGUGCCUGAGCCAGGAUCCUGUCUGCUGUAGCACCCUGUCUUAGACACUCCACAGAGAAGUCUCAAUACUUUACACUCAAGAGAUGGGUUCAUUCUGUCCCUUUCCUGUUCCAGCAAAAAAAUUUCACUCCACCAGCCUCUCUUGCUAAUUUGAACCAUUAUUUUAUUCCUUAGCUGAUUCAAUUUUCAUAUUGCCUGUUGUUACUGAAGUGUACAGGAUGGCAUUAAAUACAUCAGUAUUUAGGUCAGCCUACGAGUGGACUAAACAGCUGAAUAAUAACUGCAUCUGCUGUUUCUUGGCUGUUCUUCAGGAUACAUCCUUUAAUUUUCUAUUACUGAUUCUACUUUGCCUCACAGAGGUUAAAAUUAUGAUGAUGACAUGGAGGGUAUUUACAUAACUAUUUCCCCUCCUACUGUUCUCCAGAACUGAUAAAGACUCAAGAGUGGACUUGGAUUUCUGGAAACCCCUCUUACUGUUUCCUUCACCAAAGGUUCUUAAAGAGAUUUGGUUGCCAUGGAAGAUUAACAUAAAUCCUUAUUAAAAAUAGAAUAAGGAAUAAAAGGUUUUUACAGUAAAAUCCCCCAGAGUUCUGUGCUAGGAUUUGUACUCUUUAGCAUGCUCAUUUUAGCUUUUUUUUAGUAUUUUUGCUCUUUUAAAAUUUCUAGUAGUUUUUUUUUAUUUCAUCCCUCUUUACUUUGUAGUUUCCAUAAUUUUACCUCCUUUCUUGAGGGCUGGUUCUCAUUCAGAAGCAUCCAGAAAUGAUUGUUCUUAAGGGAUGGCAGUGCUGGAAGGGUGAUUCAGACUGGCUAGGGCAAGGAGUGAGGCUGAGAUCCAUGUAAAAAACAAGGCAGGCUGUGCAGGUCGGGUAAUCUGGGAUUAUGUCAGGAGAGAUCAGUUCACCCUUGUGCUCCUGGCUGCUGCAUCCAGGUCAGACUGAGUGCUCAUCCAGACAGAGCAGAGUCAGCACUGCAAGGGUUUGGCUGCAUUUGCAGAGAAAUAAAAUCAGCUCCACACAGGGAUCUGCCCAGUUUUUACAUCUUUCAAGUCACAGCUAAGUGGGGGCACAUCAGAAACUCCCCAGCACUGGGGAGCUGUGCCUGGAGCUCAGCCAUGGGGCAAAAGGGGAACAAAAGGAUCUCUGUGCCUUAUGUAGAGUAAGGUGGCUUGGGUUUAUUUUUUAAGCCUGGUUGGAGAUUUCUUCAUGAGCUGCAGUUUAUAUGAAUGUCUGUCAGUACAUUCUGGGUUUAUGCCAAUCAAGGAUUAUGACCUAUAUUAACAUCCCAGAAACAGGGGAGGCCAGCCAGACCUGCACCUCACGCCAGGACUGCAGCUCAGUCUCCUGAUGUCUGAUAUUCACUGUUACUACAUUUUAAAGUCAGGUUCAAUUACUUCUCUCAACAGGAACUUAUUUAAAAUGUGCUCACUCCUCCUGACAUGCAUCCCUUACCAUCUUGACAAAGCACCUGACAGUCUCUCAGCGGGGGCUGUCUUUCUUAACAAAACAGAGAAUGGCAUUUGCUACAAUAAUUUAGUUGCUAUUCAUAAAAAUAAAAUGCAGCUCCUAGGAUUUUUUUUAUUAUUUUCAGUGGGACUUACAUCAUUAUAUCCAGGAAUAUGAACAAUACUCAGUUCAGGCAUAACUUGGUAGCUGGCUGACAAAAGCCCCAUAUCCAGACACUUGAAUUUUCCCAUAAUUUGUAUGGCACAUAUGCAUCUCACUGGCAGUUAAAAAAUACUGUUGAAAAACCCUAAUUACAGGACUGAAUCUAAAAGGGAUUUUCCAAGCACCUGGGAACAAAGAUGUCAGAAUGUAAAAACACCAAACACUGACCCUUGGUGGUCAGUCAUGUACUUGCACAUUUAUUGCCUUUAGAAAACAAGAUAAAAAAUCUUCUUCCACUUUCCAAUCAAAUUUAGUAGCUCAGUUGAUUUGAUUUCUGGAAGUCUGCACUUCCUGAACAUCUUUCAAAAGCUUUAUGAGCAUCCAAUAAUCCCCAUAGUAUUUUGUAGUACUGAGGCACAUCUGAAUUUUUAGAUGCAGAAACCAGAAUCAAACCAAUUCCCAGUAGGCAUGCAAUGAAUUAUUACACAAUACAAACGCUCUGAUACCUGCUGGGCCACACAUCCCUUCACACCCUGUCACACUCUCUGUCACCUUUCUGCCACUUUUGAAUCGAGCUUUGUAUUGGAAGUCACUCUCUCUUCAUGAAAACAUUGACUAUCUGUUUAUUCUCCAAAUGUGGCCAAUUUAGAAGUAAUUAAAUUGAGUUUAUUCAGCAUAACUGAACAUCUAAAAACCGUAAAAUAGGAAUUAAAAAGCCACUGCUGUAAACUGGAGUUGUUUGAUUGGCCAAAGGCUCUCAGUGCCUUGCUGGUCUCUACAGGUUUUCUUUCCCCAUUGCUUUUCCCUGCAGAUGCUCAGUGGUACUUUCCAGGUCAGUCAUGCCCUGAGGGAAAAGGGAGCAAUGUCAGGAUGAUGAAUGUAAAAUCUUUUCACUCUGUUACUGAAGUAUCUGUUUUGUAAAAUACUCUGAAAUAUUUUCCCUGGCUGCUGUAGGACAUGAAAGUCAUUAAAAUCUAUUCAUUAUCAAAUUAGUAGGAAUUCUAGAUAUUUUGUAUGUUCUGAAAAUUAAUAUCUUGCCUGAGAAUAUCUUCAUAAAGAAGUCUGGUAUUCAGGCUUUUCUGGAAGGUGGCAAUAUUUUCAUGUGGAAUAAGAAUCUUUCAAGUAUUUUCACAUUAGAUGGAAAUACUUUCAUCACUUGAGGCCCUUCUUGGAAGUCAUUCAACUAUGAGAACAUUUGCUUUAAAUAAAAGAGUGUUUAAGCCAGUGGGAUUCCUGAAAUUCCUGAGCCAUUUAUGCUCUUCUUUACACUUUUCUUAGCACAUCUUAACUCAGUGAACAUUUCCUUAUCCCCAUAGAUUUAAUGCUGGUAAGGAACAGUCAUCUCAUUAAAACUCCGAAGGCUUGGGGUAGCACUUCUAGUCUUUUAUAAUUAAUUUUGUUUUGACUGGAGUAAUUUCUGGGCUCCUUGGCUGCAGACUUCUAGAUAGAGUUAUCUUACCCAUGUGAUACAGUGGGUGUGUAUAUAGAGUACAAGGGCAUGCACACCUUUCACACAGAAUAAUAAUAUUGUUUAGUAUAGAAGCUUCAGAAAAAAAAAUAACUGCUUUUCCAAAUAACACUUAAGGUUUAUCAUAUGGCAGUAAGGUAGGCAUUGAUAAACUCAAGGAGAAAAGAUGGAAAUAGAGCCAUAGAACGAAGAGCUCAUUAAAUUCCAUAAAAAGCUAUACUGGAGACAAAGCAGGUCUGAGGUGGAAAACUACUGACCUAAAUUUAUAGAAGAGACUUGUGACCAGAUUUUGUAAUUGCAUCUUUUGGCUUCAUUCAGCAAGAGAGAAAUGGCAACAUCCUUAAGGAAUGAUCUGUCUCAACUAUUUCAGGGAAACAUCUCAGAAUUGGCAACUUUUAAGAACAGUGACUUGAACAGAAUAAAAUAUUUACACCUUUACA